rnacentral:lncRNA from 1 species
GUUAGGGCCUCACUUCCCUGCUUCCACACCUCAGGGAGGCCUCGGUGAUUUUGCCAGAGCCUCAGCCUCCAUCGCUCUGUAACCUGCGGGUAUUGGAUGAUUCGUAGCUAAGACUUCGCGACACCCUUGAAGCUGAGAAAUGGAACCCUUAACAUUCAGGGAUGUGGCCAUAGAAUUCUCUCCAGAAGAGUGGAAAUGCCUGGACCCUGCCCAGCAGAAUUUGUAUAGAGAUGUGAUGUUGGAGAACUACAGAAACCUGGUCUCCCUAGGUGAGGAUAACUUUAAUGCAUAAUUCCUAAUACUCCCUCUGAGUUUUAUUUUCUAUUUUUGUAGAAUGUCUUUUGAGAUAUAUCUAUAUAAAAAUGUGUGUCUCACACACACAGCUAUGUAAGUUAUAUAUGUGUAUAGUAAAUUCUUAACAUUGUUGAUAGAUUCUCAGAAACUGUAAGUGAAGCAACAUAUCAUUUAGGAAAAUGAAUUUUAGGGCUGGGUGCAGUGGCUCACGCCUGUAAUCCCAGCACUUUGGGAGGCUGAGGUGGGCAGAUCAGGAGGUCAGGAGUUUGAGACCAGCCUUGCCAACAUGGCAAAACCCUGUCUCUACUAAAAAUACAAAAAACUAGCUGGGCAUGGUGGCAGGUGCCUGUAAUCCAGCUACUUGGGAGGCUUAGGCGGAGAAUCACUUGAACCUGGGAGGCAGAGGUUGCAGUGAGCCGAGAUUGCGCCAUUGAACUCCUGUCUGGGAGACAAGAGCAAAACUCCGUCUCAAAAAA